ACUAUAGUUUAUCUAAACAAUAUGAAGGCUGUCGCUGUUUUGCUCGUUUUCCUUAUUGGUGAGUAGAAUUAGGUAGUCUCGUACGGACAGAAUACUCUAGAUGUAUUAAAUCUAGCGUGCACGAAAGAUGGCGGAAUUUUGGAUUUUCUAUAGGUUAAAAUAGAUUUAAUUUUUGAAUUGACAUAUUUAUACACAUCCAUGCGUAACGUUUGGCGAUGAACUUGGUUUAGUAGAAGCUUCUCUCCGCCAAAAAUAGUUAAGUAGAACGCACAGCCAAAUGUAUACAUUUAUAGUACCUUGGUUCCUUAUUUUACGCGGGUACUUAAUUCCGCGAUUCAGCCGUUUUGUCAUAGUUUCAUGCAGUUUACAUACAUUUAUGUCCGAAAAAUAAAAGCGAGAUUUUAAAAUUUGCGAUUUUACGCGGAUAUUAAUUCCUCGAGUUUAAUAUCUCAAUCCUCAAGAGUGGUCUUAUUUGCAAAAAAAAUAAAAGAGGUUUACAUCACGAAACCAAUCAAUCAACAAUUUAGCAAACCAUUGAUUAUGAUUACUUACCUAUCAUUAUCUAUCCGCCCUUGACUGAGUAUACAUUGCAUUUGUUAACAUCUUUUAAUUCAAAAGGUAUAGCAUACUCUUCUUGGAAUUUUGUCUUGACUUUAAUAUUUAAAAUUGCUUACAUCUUGUCACCAUAAGGCUACGUCUACUCCGAGUCCUGUACAAACUCAGUCAGUGAGUGCCAGCACACGUCAUGUGACAGCUCGUCAGAACUCCACUGUGUGGACGGGCUGUGUACCUGUACAACCCCAACCAACAUGGGUGAGAGAGAGAGAGAGAGAGAGAGAGAGAGAGAGAGAGAGAGAGAGAGAGAGAUUUUGAAAAACAACGACUUAGAAAGUGAGAUAAAACAGUGUUUUAAUAAAUGUUGUUAAUUGAAACAACUAAUAGAUACAGUUGUCUUUACUCUCUAUUGCAGCCUGUAGGACCCAACAGGACUGCCUAAACAUCGCUGAUUGGGACUGCCCAGCCAACAGACGCCAUUGCAUCGACAAUGUCUGCAGAUGCUCGAGAUUCUGAAUAAAUGUCUCUAGCU
rnacentral:misc_RNA from 1 species